CAGCAGCCACGGUAAUACAGAGGGUGCGAGCGUUAAUCGGAUUUACUGGGCGUAAAGCGUGCGUAGGCGGCUUCUUAAGUCGGAUGUGAAAUCCCUGAGCUUAACUUAUGAAUUGCAUUCGAUACUGGGAAGCUAGAGUAUGGGAGAGGAUGGUAGAAUUCCAGGUGUAGCGGUGAAAUGCGUAGAGAUCUGGAGGAAUACCGAUGGCGAAGGCAGCCAUCUGGCCUAAUACUGACGCUGAGGUACGAAAGCAUGGGGAGCAAACAGGAUUAGAUACCCCUGUAGUCCCUGUCUCUUAUAC
rnacentral:rRNA from 1 species